AUCACAUGAUGAUUAAAUUACUCACCAUCUUUCGACUGAAAGACUAUUGAUGAUAUAUUUUUAAACUGAUUGGUU